GGAGAGGUGGCAGAGCGGAUGAUUGUACCUGACUCGAAAUCAGGCGUACCGGCAACGGUACCGAGGGUUCGAAUCCCUCCCUCUCCGCCA
rnacentral:tRNA from 1 species